AUGAAAUAUCCAAAAAUAAUCAGUCUCCUCCAUCAUUGUAUUCCAGGAGUCUGCUCCAUCUCCAGGAUCCCUCUCUUGGGGAUAAAUGCACUGCUCAGCACCUUCCUGGAGGGACCCAUUCAGCAGAGAGGAGGAAAGAUCACUCCUAGGUUACUCUCCCAUCUGGGAAGUACCUUACAAUGUGUCAGACCACCACUGGAACCAAACGUGAUCAAUCAAUUGAAUCAAAUAACAUCAUCAUUUCUAAGGUUGGGAAAAGUAUGGAAACAUAUGAUUAUUUAA
rnacentral:lncRNA from 1 species